UUGGUCAGAUGGAUCUAUAAAAUACCUACUACCUGAGGUACAAUAAUUGUAGCUUUUCUGUUCUCUUUCCACAACUGAAUCAAGGCGUUUAGAAAUGUGGUUUCUGCUAGCUUUAUCGGCAUUGUUUUUUUCUGCCAACGGUUAAGGCCGCUAUGACAACCAACCCGUGAGACAACCAUACCUGGUCACCCCUAGCCUUUUUCCAAAUUAGUCUUUAAGGAUACAGAAAACAAAACCUAUGAAAUGGAAAUUUCAUAACAAUUUUGUGGUGAAAUAUUCAGCAACAAGGGUUAUAUUUCUAGGAGUGAUUCAUUUUUGGGAAAG